rnacentral:rRNA from 1 species
GCACGGGUGAGUAACGCGUAGGUGAUCUAGCUCUGCGACUGGGAUAACCAGCCGAAAGGUUGGCUAAUACUAGAUAGAGCGCAAUUGCUGUAGAGGUAAUUGCGGGAAAGGGUGGCGUAGCAAUACGCUAUUGCGCUGAGAUGAGCCUGCGUCUCAUUAGCUAGUUGGUAGGGUAAUGGCCUACCAAGGCAUUGAUGGGUAGCUGGUCUGAGAGGACGAUCAGCCACACUGGAACUGAAACACGGUCCAGACUCCUACGGGAGGCAGCAGUGGGGAAUCUUGCGCAAUGGACGAAAGUCUGACGCAGCGACGCCGCGUGGGUGAAGAAGGCCUUCGGGUUGUAAAGCACUUUUAUCCGGAACGAAACGUGCGGGGUGAAUAGCCUCGUAAACUGACGGUACCGGAGGAAUAAGCACCGGCUAACUUCGUG